GACUAUCUCCUGCCAGGUCCCUUGCCUAUCAAGAUUAGGCCUUGAGCUGAAGGAGAAGGCCUCACGAUAUGUGGUAGCAGGCAUGUAUUUUCCUAAAUGCCAAGUCCCCAACAAAGUCUGAAUGCAGUCUCCAGAGUUUAGCCAGUGCCUGAUUCCUCCUUUGCACCACAGUCAAAAAGGGUAGCCAGGUCCUUAUGAGACUCAGAGGACCAGAGCCAAUUGCAGCCAACAUUACAGCUGGUGGACAGCACCCUACACCUCCUGGCAAGUAGAAUCCCCCAAAUUGUGGGAUACUCAGAGACUCACCUGCAGUCCCAAAGUCAAAGUCUGGUGGAGAGCGUGGUGGUCUGUUGAAAUAAUACACUCCUCCCAGGGCUUAAUAACACUGGUUGCCUCUGGGGAGGGAAAAUGGGAGCAGAAGGAUAAAUGUGGGGUUUUUUCUUCCAUUCAAACAACACUGAGCAUCUACUAUGUGCCUAUAGCUCUUUGAGGUCCUAGAGACACUGAAUGAACAAAAUAAUGCAAAAACCUUUGCCCUCAUGAAGCUUAUUUUCUGUCGGGGACCAAGACGAUAAAUAACAUACAGUUUUAAAUGUCAAUGUUAAUUAUAAAUGCUAAGUGAUAAAUGUCUAUAGUGCAGCAUUGCAUUUACCUGUUUACUGAUCUCUUUCACUACAAUGGGAACAACUGGAGGGCAAGAAUCAAACCUGUUUUUGACUCAGGGCCUUUGUACUUACUGUUCCCUCAGCCUGCCUAUUUGUCCCCAAGUGCAGCAAUCACACAAAGCAGAGGGGAAAUUUGUUAACUGGCAGAAUAAAUGAAGGCUAUGCCUAAGCAUGUGUUCCAAUAAAUGUUUUCAGGAGCACUUGCAUACAUGUGAGUACAUGUGCACAAACAAGUGAAACAAUGAGCUAUGGGGAUAGACGCAGAAUAGCCCCAUAGUGGUCCCUCAAGAAAGAUGAGAGGCAUCAUGAAAGAGCUGUUCCGUGGGUGUGGGGGUGCAGGAACAGAGUGCAGAGGGGCUUCUGCCCUGACCCUCAAUGUGGAAGGGUGAGAACAGAUGAGCACACAGCUUUAGUCUGAAAGCCUCUCUUGCUUUGUUUCCAGUGCCACGACUUAAGGAGUGAAGAGAGGGCAUGGAGAACAAGCAGAGUGUGCAGGGCAUAUGCUGAGAUAAGAAACUGGAUCUGAAACAAGUUGAAUACUUGCAGGCAGGAAGAAAUGGAUCGCACCAAACCAAGGUUGCUCUGGGUCUCCACAUUCCCUCUGGUUCAAACCUUAUUGUUAAGUCGGAUUCCCAUUCAUCCUCCUCUUCCCUGUCCUGCUCCUGUUCUGAACAUAGAUUUGAGGAUGACUUAUGUUCCUCUCCCAGCUAAGCCCUCAGAGGGCGGGACUUGGGCUGGGAACUCCUUCUGGACAGCAGAGCUCUCCAAAGAUUUUGUAGGAAGAACUACUUUUUAUUUUCUUAGUCUUUAAAAAAAAAAAACAAAAAAAAACAAAAAAAAA
rnacentral:lncRNA from 1 species